rnacentral:rRNA from 1 species
GCAGCUACACAGCGAUGUGAUGCUAAUCUCCAAACCAUGUCUCAGUUCGGAUCGGAGUCUGCAACUCGACUCCGUGAAGCUGGAUUCGCUAGUAAUCGCGCAUCAGCCAUGGCGCGGUGAAUACGUUCCCGGGCCUUGUACACACCGCCCGUCAAGCCAUGGGAGCCGGGGGUACCUGAAGUCCGUAACCGCGAGGAUCGGCCUAGGGUAAAACUGGUGACUGGGGCUAAGUCGUAACAAGGUACC